UCGUGACCCUGACCAAAACAGACCGCGCACGCGUCAUCCAAUCCGUCGACGACGGUUUACACCGUCGCUCGGCCAAUGCCUCGACCACCUCCCCUCCUCGGAGUGGGUGGGGGCUCGGGGUAAAAGAACCCACGGCGCCGAAGGCGUCAAGGAACACUGUGCCUAACCCGGGGGCAUGCCUAGCUUGCUAGGCGUCCCUCGUGUUGCAAAGCUAUUUAAUCCACACGACUCUCGGCAACGGAUAUCUCGGCUCUCGCAUCGAUGAAGAACGUAGCGAAAUGCGAUACCUGGUGUGAAUUGCAGAAUCCCGCGAACCAUCGAGUCUUUGAACGCAAGUUGCGCCCGAGGCCACUCGGCCGAGGGCACGCCUGCCUGGGCGUCACGCCAAAACACGCUCCCAACCCCACUCAUUGGAUUUUGGGAUGCGGCCUCUGGUCCCUCGUCUCGCAAGGGGCGGUGGACCGAAGAUCGGGCUGCCGGCGUACCGCGCCGGACACAGCGCAUGGUGGGCGUCCUCGCUUUAUCAACGCAGUGCAUCCGACGCGCAGCCGACAUGAUGGCCUCAAAACGACCCAGCAAACGAAGCGCACGUCGCUUCGACC
rnacentral:rRNA from 1 species